GACCUAGUGGUGCAUGGCUCACACCUGCUCCCCCUGACAUGUUCUUCAAGAAUGUACAGCAGGAGCUCCCGGUUCGACUCCGGGCUAGGUCU